GGGCCCGCACAAGCGGUGGAGCAUGUGGUUUAAUUCGAUGAUACGCGAGGAACCUUACCAGGACUUAAAUGUAAGUUGCAUGAUUCAGAAAUGAAUCUUUCUUCGGACUACUUACAAGGUGCUGCAUGGUUGUCGUCAGCUCGUGCCGUGAGGUGUCAGGUUAAGUCCUAUAACGAGCGCAACCCCUAUCGUUAGUUGCCAUCAAGUAAAGUUGGGAACUCUAGCGAAACUGCCGGUGCAAACCGUGAGGAAGGUGGGGAUGACGUCAAAUCAUCACGGCCCUUACGUUCUGGGCUACACACGUGCUACAAUGGCCGGUACAGAAAGCAGCCACUAUGCGAAUAGGAGCUAAUCUUCAAAGCCGAUCUCAGUUCGGAUCGGAGUCUGCAACUCGACUCCGUGAAGUCGGAAUCGCUAGUAAUCGUGGAU
rnacentral:rRNA from 1 species